CAGAGGAAGGUGCAUGUGAGGCAACAUGUCCCUCUACUUUAAGUGAGUCAAAUAUAAAUUUAAUCUUUUUAACACAAUUAACUUCUUAUAAAAAUGUUCUUCGCCCGCCUGUUGUUGUUUCCCCUGCGUCUGUGUCUUGUUCACUGUCAGGUUUAUUUAUUGAUUCUGUCUGUGCUUGUUAGUUUGUUAUCUCAACCGGGCAUAAGCCUGGAGGGGAUCAUGUGUACAGUCUUCUUUGUGAGGGGGGGGGGGGGGGGGGAGGGGUUUGUGUGUGCAUCUUGCAUACUACAUUACCCAUCAGCCUGAUAUUUGUGUGAACAUUUACGCCUGUAUGCUAAAUAAAUAAAAAAAAAUACUCCAGGUUGUUGUGAUUCCUGAGAUACAGUCUGUGCAAAAGAUAGUAGAUGCUAGAUGAGGAAAGAAAACAGCUGCUCUUUGUGUGGGAGGGGAGAGGGAGGUAGGGAACAACAACAUGCCUGCACACAAACCUGCCAGAGAUCUGCUGCCAGGUCAUCUAUUUGUUCUGCUGAGCGCUUAGCAAGACAAUGCUGUAAAAUCAAAUGCACGAUUGAGGGACCGACCCUGUUGAGAUUACAUUUAAAGACAAUUAUUAGUCCCACAAAUUAUCAUUUAUUUUCAGGCAAUCAUCUAAAGCUUACAUACAGAAAUAUUGAUGUGCUUAUUUAUCAUUGUCCCGACUCAUGUGAUAUAAUUAUCAAAUCGCUGGAGUCAAAUCGUGAUACUUUAAAUUAACAAAAGCACUCUAAACAGAAUUCCCUGGAAGUUUGACUUCAGCUGUCAUUACUCCAUGACGCCUCACGGUGGCGCUUAUGACAUAAAUGAGUGUACAGUGAACAUACAGUAUGUUUUAGUGGCCAAAGAAGAUAAGAAGAUAAAAGAAGAAGAAGACAGCCGUGUAAUAUGUGACAUUGGUGAAAAGAAAGUUAAGCGAUGAAGCGUGGAAAGAGGGGAAACUUGCAUGGAAUAAAUAUAUUAAUUGUGAACUCUUUAUAUUCUUCAGUUAAAGCCUUUGCACACUGUGUCAUUCAGGGUCUACAUGACAGGAGCUUUGUGUUACCUGCCAAAGGUUUUGGGAUCAAAAUGGAAAGCUGCUCUGUAUUUAAUUUUCUUGUUUUCUUUCUCUAUCCCUCCAAGGUGAAAGCUUCCUGUGUUCUUUUGUAAAUAAUUGAAGGAAGGAAGGAUGUAAGAAAAGAAGUGAGGAAAGAAGAAAGGGAGUGAGGGAGGGAGGAAGGAAGGAAAAAAAGGAAGGAGAAGGAAGGAAGGAUGUAAGAAAAGAAGGGAGGAAGGAAGAAGGGGAGGAAGGAAAAAAAGGAAGGAGAAGGAAGGAAGGAUGUAAGAAAAGAAGGGAGGAAGGAAGAAGGGGAGGAAGGAA